AGUUUGAGACCAGCCUAGGCAACACAGUGAGAAAUCCUUCUCCACAAAAAGAAAAAAAAAAAAAUCAACAACACUCCUAUGUAUCAGUGACUGUCAGAAAAGGAUUUUUAAAAGAUAAAUUUAUAAUUACACAAAAAAAGUACCAAAUACUUAGAUAUAAAUCUAAUAGAAAUGUGAAAAACUUCUGCAAGACAAAAAGCUAUAAAAUAUUAAUUAAAAAUUAAAGUUCUAAAUAAAUAGAGCAGUAUACUAUGGUCUAGAAUGAAUUUUUUUAAUGUCUAUUUUUCUCAAAUUAAUUUAUAUAUUCAGCAAAGUUAAAAGCAAAAUCUCAACAGACAUUUUUGGUAACUAGACACAUUGAUUUUAUAAUUAAGACAUAAAUAUAAAUGUCCAGAGUAUCUCUCAAUAGAUUUUGAAAAAGAAGCAUAACAUAGGAGGACUUUGUAUAAAGCUACAGUAAUGAAGACAGUAUGAUACAGACUAAAUAUAUUCAAAUAUCAAAAGAACAAAGAGUCUAGAAACAAACCUACAAUAUGUAUGAACACUUGAAUUUAUGAAGUAGUUAGCAUAGAUAAUGGAAGAAAAUAAUGCUUUCAAUAAACUAAGUCAAUUAAGUAUCCAUAUAAAAGGAAAAAAAAACAAAGUUCUACCUCACAGUAUACACAGAAACCAAGUCCAGUUGGAUUACAUAUCUAAACGUGAAAGGCAAAACACAACUUUAAAAGGAUAUAGGAGAAUAUCCAAAUGACCCUGGAGUAUGAAACGAUUUCUUAAACAGAAAGCACUAACCGUUAAGAACAAAAACUGAUAAGGAGAUUGACUAAUUAAAAGGGACUUCCAUUUAUCAAAAGACAUCAUAAAGCCAGUGAAAAAGCAAAGAGCAGUGUGGAAGAGAGUGGCCACAGUUAUAACAGAAACAUAACCAGAUUAUUUAAAAUUCUUAUAUAUCAGUAAGACAUAUGGUUUGGUUUUGGUUCUGAUUUUGACUUGGCUUAAAUUGCUUGACGAACAGGUGAGCCUUUAACAACACUUUGGUUUUAGUUUUUAUUUUGAUUUAGUGUGAAUUAGAUGAGUGAGUGACCUUUUACCCUUUCAUUCUUGUAGUGUGAAUGUUGUUUUGUCUCAAGAGAAAAAUAGGUCAGACACAAAGUAAGCCCACUCCGCUAGGAACUGUGUUAAAAAAUUUCAAAAAGAAAAAAGGAAAGUCAUCAAAUUAUCAAAACUUACUUUAUUGAAGUGCAUGUUACAGAACCUUAAGAAAUGUUUUGCAGGAAAUUAUAGAGUUACGUUAAUCCCUUAGAGGUGAAGAUCUCUGUGUGAAUUAGAACUGCCCUCUUUUGGUGUAGGAUGGCCCACUGAAGGAACUAUAGACAAGGAACAACUGGCCAUGUAUUUAAGGUGGUGACAGAGGUCGGAGGACAGCCAGCGUACCUAGAUUAAAUUCCUUUAUAUUGAUUCAUGGUUAAAUAUAGACAAAACCAGCAUAAAUUUAGCCCUGUUUAACAGCUUAUUGCAAAAAAGCCAAAAGUAAAAGUAAGAGCAGCUUCGCCAGCAGACACAGAGUUUAAAAAGGGAGUCCCAGAAACAGCAAGAGAAGCCAGUUUUGCAGGAGCCGCCAGAGAUAAUAGAAAUUCUUUCUCCGUAUGUCCCAGCCUACCCCGCUUUACCGAGGCCAACACCCCCUCAGAAACGAGAUUCAGGAGCUAACACGCCCCAGGUCUCACCUCGAAGGGGAGGAUCAGAGCCUCCAGAGGCCAAGGAAGAAAGUCAACAUAGUCAAGUGCGCCGUCUCAGAUCUGGUCUUGCUGGAGCUAUGCAAAUGCCUCUUAGGGAGACGCGAGGACUAUAUACUGAUUCUCAGUAGCCUCAGGGUUAAAUGGGGUGUAAAGCCAGAAUGCUUUAUAGAGUCUCUUAUAAAACUGACUUAGGCUUUUGUCAGCUCCUUGAAGCAUUCCUGGAAUCUUUUUUUAUAUUACUUGCUUUUUUCUACCAACUCUUAGCCUCUGCAGAAGUGCUUCUCAGGCUGUGCAGCAAUGGCCAAGAUCAAAGCUGGAGAUCUUCGCAGGAAGGAGGAGGAGGAGUUGCUGAAACAGCUGGACGACCUGAAGGUGGAACUGUCCCAGCUACGCGUCGCCAAAGUUACAGGCGGUGCGGCCUCCAAGCUCUCUAAGAUAGGAGUCAUCCGCAAAUCCAUCCCCCGUGUUCUCACAGUUAUUAACCAGACUCAGAAAGAAAACCUCAGGAAAUUCUACAAGGGCAAGAAGUACAAGCCCCUGGACCUGCGGCCUAAGAAGACGCACGCCAUGCGCCACCGGCUCAACAAGCAUGAGGAGAACCUGAAGGCCAAGAAGCAGCAGCAGAAGGAGCGGCUGUACCCGCUGCGGCAGUACGCGGUCAAGGCCUGAGUGGCCCAUUGUCAAUAAAGCACAGCUGGCUGAGAAAAAAAAAAAAGUGCUUCUCGGUACCUCUGGAAACGCUGAAGCUGAGUUGCAUUCUCUGGGUGUUCUUUUCCCCUUUUUCCUAGAGUUUAACAGGCUCUUUUCUUUAUAUAAUUUUUCAUGCGUAGACUAGUCAGCUGCCGGUGUAACUAGAGCAGGGCUUGUUGUCUCCUCAAGCUUCAGCCGUGCGUAGACUGUUCAGCCUCCGGAGUGACCAGAACAGGGCUGUUGUCCUCACCCAAUAGAAAAAGUGAGGAAAAGACUUGAACAGGCUUUUCAUAAAAGAGGAUACUCACGUGGCCAAUAAGCACAUAAAACAGCUCUCUGAAACCAUAGAGGUGCUAGUACAAACCCACGAAAAUGACUGAAAUUAACAAGACUUACAAUACCAAGGUUAGUAAACAUAGAAGAAGAAUAAAAACUCACACAGUGAUGUCUGGGAGUAGCAAGUUAGUACAAUCACUUUGGGAAAACAAUUUGGCCCACCAGGUCCUACCUCCAACACUGGAGAUCACAAUGUGGAGGGCACAAACAUCUAAACCAUAUCAUUCUGCUGGUGCCACAAAUCUCAUGUCCUACUCACACUGCAAAAUACAAUCAUCCCUUCCCAAUAGUCUCCCAAAGUCUUAAGUCAUGUCAACAUCAACUCAAUCAAAAGUCCAAAGUCUCAUCCAAGACUCAAGUCAAAUUCCUUCCACCUAUGAGCCUGUAAAACCAAAACAAGUAACCUGAUACAUCAAAACAAGAUACAUUGGUGGUUCAGGUAUUAAUCGGCCAAAAGAAAGAGGCAACAGGCCACAAGCAAGUCCAAAACCCAGCAGGGCAGACGUUAAACCUUAAACUCCAAUAUAAUCCUUGACUUCAUGUCAGGCAACCUUGUGUGAGGGGUGGGCUCCCAAGGCCUUGGGCAGCUCCACCCCUGUGGCUUUGCAGGGUACAGCUCCCAUGGCUGCUCUCACACGUUGGACCUGAGUGCCAGACCUGACUGCCUGCAGUUUUUCUAGGCUCAGGGUACAAGUUAACAGUAGAUCUACCAUUCUGGGGUCUGGAGGGUGGUGGCCCACUUUCCAUAGUUCCACUAGGCAGUGCCCUAGAGGGA